GGUUCUGAAUCAGGUGCUGGUUCUGGUUCUGGGUCUCUCUUUGGAGCAAAAAGCGAUCAGUCAAUUUUCGGUGUUAGUCUUCCCACUAAUGGAAAUGCUUCUCUAUUUGGUUACUCAGGGUCAUCUAGUGUAAAAAAGAGCGAGGGAACUGGAUUUCCUUCCAUGCAAGAGGUUCCGAUUGUAACAGGGGAGGAGCAUGAAAAGGCGAUCUUUACAGCUGACUCUGUGCUGUUUGAAUAUCUUAAUGGA
rnacentral:misc_RNA from 1 species